rnacentral:misc_RNA from 1 species
GAUGAAGAACGUAGCGAAAUGCGAUAAGUAGUGUGAAUUGCAGAAUUCCGUGAAUCAUCGAAUCUUUGAACGCACAUUGCGCCUCCUGGUAGUCCGGGAGGCAUGCCUGUUCGAGCGUCACCAAAUCCAACUCAAGCGGUUUUGCGCUUGGUCGUGCCGGAAGAGUCGGUCUGGUUGCCGUCUCCCCUCCGAAAAUCAACGGCGGAAAGUCACUGGCAGUCAGCGUAGUAGUAUCGUUCGCCGAACAUCCAGUGGCAUUCCUGCCGACGUACCCCCACAAUUCUCGUGAUUGACCUCGGAUCAGGUAGGGAUACCCGCUGAACUUAAGCAUAUCAAUAAGCGGAGGA